UAGAUUUAAAGUUUAGGGUUUAGUGUUUAGAGUUGAUGUUUUAGGAUUUAGAAUUGAUGUUUCGGGGUUUAGAGUUUAGAGUUGAUGUUUCAGGGUUUAGGGUUCGUAUUUCCAAAAAAAUAGGGUUUAAGAUUGACGGUUUAAGGUUUAGAUUUCAUAUUUCAAAAAUAAAAUAUGGUUUAGGAUUGAUGGUUUAGGGUUUAGAGUUGAGUUUUGAGGGGUUAGGGUUUGAAUUUCGAAAU
rnacentral:lncRNA from 1 species